GUAUUCUAUGGGGUGCACGUUUUAAGUUCGACUUAAGUACUAACUUAUUUUACAACUUCUUAUGUAAUUCGUGCAUUACUGCUAGCCAACACGAAUAUUACAUA
rfam:Papio anubis isolate 1X1155 chromosome 1, whole genome shotgun sequence.